GACGUAGGGCGCGAGCGUUGUCCGGAUUUAUUGGGCGUAAAGAGCUCGUAGGCGGCUUGUCGCGUCGGCUGUGAAAACCCGUGGCUCAACUGUGGGCGGGCAGCUGAUACGGGCAGGCUGGAGUUCGGUAGGGGAGACUGGAAUUCCUGGUGUAGCGGUGAAAUGCGCAGAUAUCAGGAAGAACACCCGUGGCGAAGGCGGCUCUCUGGGACGGUACUGACGCUGAGACGCGAAAGCGUGGGGAGCGAACAGG
rnacentral:rRNA from 1 species